CCUAAAGUGUCUUAUAAAAUUAUAGAUAGUGUUUAGUGAAUAUGACAAAUACCCCCAUAAGGGAAGAAACUAACUACAACUAUAACACUUCUUUCAUGAUAAUAAUGGAAGAAAAAGAAGAAACUCACUAUUUAUUCAUAGUAAAACAGAUGAUAUUUAUCAGACUAUGCAAGGGGAUUCAUGUUGCAAAUUAAUCAUCACAAACGAUUUUAUUUACCAAUUCGUACACAUGUAUCCCUUAUCAUUUUUGUUUCAUUAUGUCUAUUCAUACACAAAAAAAAGACCACUAUUUUUCAUCAUUUUCCUUUUUCUUCCUCCCAGACGUAAGUCGGCAUAGUGAGAGAUAACUUUAUUAAAAAGAAAUCAAUUGAAAUAAAUAAUACACCAUUUCACGGGACGUAAUUAGCCCCACAUUUUAGAAAAAAAAAUAACAGAAAAAAAAAUAAAAAUCUAAAGACGUCGACCCAGAGAAAAAACGAAGAAGACAUAAAAAAGAAGUUGAAUGCUCAUUGAAAACUGUAGCUGCUGGGGAAUCCAUUAGAAUCUUCUGUAAGGAGUGGAGUGGUCUCAGAACAAGUAGACUCAGGACAGCUAAUGCGUAAGUUAUCUAUAAGAGGUGGAAUGCUUUGUUCAUUUCUAAAGAAAUCAUUAGGAUCAACCAUAGUCUUCACAUGAACCAACCUUUUGAAAUUGUUCUUGAAAUAUUUGUUGCCCCAAACGCUAGCUUGUUCAACGCUUGUGUAUCCUUGGUUAUUUGUUCCGACGUCAAGAUCCCUGUAAUUGAUAUAUGCUCCUCGAGGAUUUUUUGAGACAUAGGGUGUCAUGUAACUGUAUAAUCUUCUUAACCAAUCAAUAUGUCUUUGAGAUGCUCCAUCUUCUCCCCAAAAAACUCCGUAAAAUAUUUGGUAUAUGUUGCCAGCUCUAUGUGGGUACGGAGUUUCAGACUCCGAAAUCUCACUCAUUUUCCCACCAUAAGGAACCAAUACCAUGAAAGCUAUUUGUCCCUCUUCUUCAUAAAACUUAUCAUAUAUUCCUUCGAAUGCAUUUACAGGGAUUGGCUCCUUCACAUAGUCUGCUUUCCCUUUAAAAAAAGCUUUUGUUGUACCACUCACAACAACCCCAUUGGAUUGAGAAUCCCUAUCAAGCAACAAAUCCAAGGAUUGUCCCUUUUCAAAUCCAGCAAGAUUCUGGACUGAUUCAAUCCAGCUCAUUUCUGUGCAGUCUUCUUUUGUCAAACCAAGCUCAGGGAAGCUCUCCUGCAUCAUUGGAAGGAGCCUAUCAACCCCACCGAGAAACACCGAUGAAAAUAUAGCCACCAUCAUUGAAUUCACCCUGGAUAAAGUGACUUCGAUAAAUAAAUCUUCAUGAAACUUAUGUGCAACGUACUGCCAUUUGUGAACAAUCUCUGUUGCAUUUUGAUCCAAGCUUCUUGUUACUAGGAAUCGAGUCACAGUUGAUGGAACUGUGACUAGCCUUACUUUCCAUGCGACGAUCACGCCAAAGCUAGCUCCUCCACCACCUCGAAUGGCCCAAAAUAGAUCUUCUCCCAUUGAUUUUCUAUCAAGAAAUCUACCUUUGGCGUCAAUCAAGUGUGCGUCAACGAUGUUAUCGGCAGCAAGGCCAAAUUUACGCAACAUGACCCCAUAUCCUCCACCACUAAUAUGUCCACCAGCCCCAACAGUAGGGCAAAGUCCGGCUGGAAAGCCAAGAUUUUUACUUUUCUCAGCAAUUCUGUAAUAAAGUUGGCCAAGGGUGGCGCCUGCUUGAACCCAAGCUGUUUGCUCCUCUGCAUCAACACUGAUUUCACUAAGAUUUAGCAAAUCAAUGAUGACGAACGGGACCUCAGAAACAAAAGAUAGACCCUCAAAGUCAUGGCCACCACUUCGAAUCCUAACCUCCAAGCCAUGCUUUUGAGAACAUUUAAUGGCUGCUUGAACUUGGGAUACGUCUGAUGGCGUGACAAUGACUUGAGGUUUGGGGGUGUUGGGUGUUGAGAACCUGAAGUUUUGUAUGGAAAGAUUCAAGACGGAUGAAUAAGAAGAAUGGCUUUUUGUGUAAAUCACUUCGGAAAUGGAGGAGGCGUUAUCAGAGUGCAUAGAAAGGCAAUCAAGAAAUAAAUUAUCAUCGUAAUGAUCAUCAAGCACUGAAGAAGUUGCAUGAAUGUUGGCAAAAGUAACCCAGCAAUCAUACGAUAAAAGAAGAAUAAAAGCAAAUGGGAUGAUAGAAGUGCAAGAAGACUUCAUUUCUGUUGAUGUUUUGGUGCAUAAGAGUGAAUGAGACCCCCCCUAUUUAUAUUGUACACUCCAAAAGCUUAAACUACCUCGUUCAACACGAAAGGUCAAUGAUAUUGAUAAUCAAGCACAUCAAAGUUUACUACGGAAGUUAAUUAGCAAUUUCCCAAUGUCACAGCAAACCAUCGGCUGCCCAAACCGACUUUGAAGUUUGAUUUGACCAUUAAACCACGUGUACCCUUGAAAUUACAUUUUUGUUCAACAACAAAAAUGAUGCCAAAGACCCCGUUACACAUAGGAUGGCGUUAAGGAGAAAAUUAUCAGAUGACCUUCUACUUUUUAGCUUAAAUACCUAUUACCCGUAUGUUUUUUAGAAAUGCUUAAAUAUCCCCUGCUUUUUUCACAUUUGUUCCUUAUGAGUUGUUCAGCAUCUUGAGUUGUUUCAGCAUUUUGACUAACGGCCUCUUUUGAAUUUGAAUUCAAGCUGAGCCCAUUUUUUCACCCCCACUGCCCGUUGGUACUCAUUUGUUAUUAUUAUUAUUUUUUAAAAAAUACUAAAAAUCCAAAUAUUUAUAUUUUAAUUCAUUUAUAGCCAUGUAUAAUAGCACUUUUACUUUCAUAAAAUUCAUCAUCAAAUCAAUAAUUGACACGUGUCAUUAGAUCCAAAUAUCUAGACAUCUAACUAGUUUUUUUUUUUUUAUCUGCUGCUUUAAAAUUGAAGAAAAAACCAUAAAUUUGGGAUGUUAACCAAUUCGAAGCCCCUCAAUUGCCAAUGAAAAUAUAAAUGUUCGGUGUCCGUUCAAGUUAAAUUUUAUGCCGUUUGGGCUUUGCUUAAUAGUAAAAGUAUCAACGAUGGUUAUUGCCCUAUUGGUUAAGCUCCCUAACGCUGGAGUAAUGUACUGUGUUAAGGAAAAAUAUGAACCCACUGUUAUUUAGCUUAAUUACCAAUUACCUCCUAGGUCUCCUGAAAUGCCAAGAGAUCUCCAUCUGUUACAUUUAUUCCCUUAAUUCUUUUGGCGUCUUGGCAUAUUUGCCCUCGUUGAAUUUGAACGAAUUGGACCUUAUUUUUUGGUCAUGUUCUAUCGAACGCGAUUGGACCCAACUCAGCCUGAUUUCCCUCCUCCUUGAUUAGAGAAAACGGUAGGUUUCUAAAAAUGGACCCAUUUGGUAUUGUUUUUGAAUUUAUAUUUUCUGAAAAUAAAAAUGAGAAUGAAAAUAGUAUUUUAUAGUUGUUGUAUUUUGAAUUUAAGUAUGCGUCUGGUAUGAUUUUCUGUAUCCUGUAUUUUAAAAUUGAAAACAAUAAUAUGCAUUUGGUAGACACAAUUGAGAGGAUAAAAACAGUGAAUAUGUGUUCGGUAACAUCAUUUUCAAAAAUAAUUUUUACUAAAUAUUUAAGUCAUAUUUAUGAAUAAAAAGUAAUUGUUUAACUAAUACAUACACAACCAUUCCAUAAAUAGUUUAAACAAAAUAAUGAUAAAAAAUUACAUGAUAAUAAAAUUUGAGUAUCAUCAUAAAUUAAAAAAAUGGAUUUAUGAAAAGGAUGGUAACAGCUCAACACGUCUUUGAUUUUGAUUCCUUUCGCCUUCCUUCUGCGGUCUACCCCCAGUCCCCACAGAAAAUAUUUUUGCUCUUUCCCCCAAAAAAAAAUAUAUAUAUUAUUUAUGAUUUUUAAUAAACCAAUCUCCAAGCCAACGAAAUAGACACACGCAGCACGUUGUAUGAUAACAUCUCAAUCAAACAAGGCUUCCGAGAAUUAAAGUUUUGAUCGGUCUUCUUUUACCCCCACUAAAAGCACGAGGUUAAAUAAAAAUAAGGCAAUGUUGUUGGAUCAGUCCCCUGUCGAAUCUCUCACUCCACUUACUUGUUUUAAACUUUAUUUAAUUUAACAACCACCAAAUGAAAAAAGGCAAUUGUAAAUUCGUGAUUCCGUUAAACCCAGAAGCAUCCACUGUGGAGUAGCAGCAGCACCAGUCGAGACAGAGCAGAGACGCAGCACCACCAGCCGAGACGGAGCAUAGACGCAUCAGUAGCAGCAUCACCAGUUAUUCCUCAAGAGAGACGCAACAGCAGCAGCAGCACUAGUUGAUCCUUAAAAGAGAAGCCGUAGCAGCACCACUACCACCAAUCGAGAGAAGCUGGGACACGGCAACAGUCGAUUCUGGUUGAAGAACCGUGAUGGAGAAGGAGACAGCUGUGACGAAUCGUGGUUAAAGAACUCUGAGAGAGAGAGAGAUGUGAAUUUCGAUCGGGAUAAGGAGAUUAGGCUUGGGUUUUGUUUUGCAAUUUCUUUUGUGAUAUAAUUCUUUUGUUUUGCAAUUCUUCAAACAAGGUGAAGAAUAUUAGGGAUGGCAAUGGGGAGGGGACCAAUCUCCCCGUACCCAUCUCCAAUAUUUUACGUAUGUCCCCGUCCCCUCCCCGUCCCCGUCAAAAUGAUUUAAGAGAAUCCUCAUCCCCUUCCCGAAUAAUAAAGUGGAUCCCCGAGGAUCCCCGAUCCUCGAAUAACUAAUACAUUUUUUUGUUUUCGAUUUUGAGUUAAUCAUAUUAAAAUAAAAAAUUCAAAUAAAAGUAAAGUUCGAAAUACAUCUUACAUUAAUAUCCAUUAAAAAAGUCAUAUACAUUAAAUUAGUAAGUAACGCAGCAUGCAAGGGAUACAAACUAUCAUGAACAAAUUAAUAACCUAAUACAAAAUUGUUACAAAUAAAAUCAAAUUUAGAUUCAAAAUUAACUUUUCAAUGGUGGCGUGGGCACUUUACAAAUGUGGACUAUUCCCUUUACAACACAAUAGUUAAGUCAAAGCAAAUCAAGAGCAAAUAUUAGAUUAUAUUAGAUAUUAAAAUUUUGAUUUGUUGUGGGCAAUUAUAACAUCUAAAAAUAAAUAAAAAAUAGAUUUAAGUUUAAAAUAUUUAAUGAAUAUUAAAAUUAAAACAAAAUUUUUGGGCUAAUAGAAUCUGUCCGGUCUUUUUAAUGUCCUAAAUAAAAAUUUAGGACUUUAAUUAGUUAAUUAGGCUUAAAAGUUUAAUAACAUUAAUAUUUUGAUAUUUUUUAUUUUUACCAAUACUUAUAAUUUUAUAAUUAAAAUUUUAUUAUUUAUUUACUAGUAAUUUUAAAAAAUAAAUAUUAAAUUAAAAAUUAAAAUGGGGAAAUGGGUAGGGGAUGGGGAUUCCACCUCAUCCCCGUCCCCUCCCCGAAUAAGAAAUUGGGUAAAAAAAUUUCCCCGUCCCUUCCCCGAAUAAGAAAUUGGGUAUGAAAUUAUCCACAUACCCUCCCCGAAUGGGGAAAAUCUCCGAGGAUACCCGUUCCCGUGGGGAUUUUUGCCAUCCCUAAAGAAUAUUUAUCAUUCGAUCCUAUAUGGCACGCACGCUGUAUCCAUAGCUGGCAUGCGAAAACUUAAAAAAUUAAUAGAAAAGAGAAAUUAGAUUUCUAAAUUAUGAAAAUUUUAUAGGAAAGGUCUAAAUGAAUAAAAUUAGGAUUUUGAGUCUUUUUUAUACUAACUGUAUUAUUGUGAAUAUACUAAAAUUGAAAAUUCUGAAAUAUUAUUUAAUAAUCAAAUUCUCCUAAUCUAAAUAAGGAAACCAAAAGAAAUGGUACCCAAUCCGAUAUCUAAGAAAAAAAAAUAAAAUCCUAAAAAGAUAAAAUCCUAAUAGUAACAAGAAAAAUAAAAAAAAAAAUAGCUUAAACUUGGAGAAUAACCAGGAAAGAAACAAAAUUUUCUACUCAACCAACAGGAUGGCAUAAGUGAUUUUAAUUUUAUUCAUCUCAUUGGAGGUUUCAAAACGGAAUAUCACCUAUAACACAAACUAUAACUUUCAGAAGAUACCCUACUAAUCUUAUGCAACCAUCCUACAUCAAUAGCUUGUCUAAUUAAUUAAUCUCUAUUUUUCUUUCUUGAAGAAAGUGGGGGGAAGCUUUGUUCAUUCCUGAAGAAAUUACCAGCGUCAACCAUAGUCUUCACAUGAACCAAUCUGUUAAAAUUUUUAUUGAAAUAUUUAAGACCCCAAAUGCUAGCUUGUUUGUAGCUUGUGUAGCCUUUGUUAUUCGUUCCAAUGUCAAGAUCCCGGCAAUUCACAUAUGCAGCUCUCGGAUUUUUUGAAACAUAGGGAGCCAUGUAACUGUAAAGUCUUCUGAUCCAAUUAAUGUGCCUUUGAGAUGCUUCACUACCUUCUUCUUCCCAGCGCACCAUGUGCUGAAUUUUGUAUAUGGUGCCUGCUCUAUACGGGAAUGGAGUUUCGAAAUCUGAAAUCUCAUUCAUUAUUCCGCCAUAGGGAGUGAAGCUUAUUUCAGCAUCCUCCGCUUCUUUUUCAUAAAACUUUUCGUAUAUCCCCAGGAAUGCAAUUUCAGGAAUAGGUUCCUUCACGAUAUCAGAUUUGGCUUUGAAAAAUCUUACGUUGGGUUGAGUUCUAUUAAGCAAAACAUCCAAAGAUCGUCCUCGGAACCCCGCAAAGUGCAUGACUGAUUCAAUCCAGCUCAUUUCAAUGCAGUCUUGUUUCACCAAGCCAAGCUCAGGGAAGCUUUGCUGCAUUAGUGGAAGGAGGGUAUCAGCUCCUCCGAGAAACAAGGAUUCAAAUGAUGCUCGUAUUGUUUUCUUCCCUCGUCUGUUUGAAGUCGCACUGCUUAAGAACACUCUGAUAUACAAAUCUUCAUGGAGUUUAUCUGCAACGUACUGCCAUCUGUCAACGAUCUUGGUAGCAUUUUGUUCCAAGGUUCUAUUGACUAUGAAUGCAGUCACAGUUUCGGGAACACUAACUAGCUUUAUUUUCCAAGCAACGAUCACACCAAAGCUAGCUCCUCCACCUCCCCGGAUGGCCCAAAAUAGAUCUUCUCCCAUCGAUUUUCUAUCGAGUAACCUUCCAUUAACGACAAUCAAGUGUGCAUCAACAACAUUAUCAGCAGCAAGGCCAUACUUGCGCAUCAAGAAACCAUAGCCUCCGCCACUAAAAUGUCCACCAACGCCAACAGUAGGGCAAACUCCUGCUGGAAAAGCAAGAGUUUUGCUUUUCUCAGCGAUUGCAUGGUAAAGUUUGCCAAUUGUUGCUCCGGCUUGAACCCAUGCAGUUUUAGCCUCUGCAUCAACAGUGAUUGAGCUAAGAUUUAUCAAAUCAAUGACGACAAAUGGGACAUGAUGAUUAGAAACAUAAGAAGAACCCUCCUAGUCAUGACCUCCACUUCGAACCCUAACUUGCAUGCCAUAUUUUUGGGAACAUUUAACGGCUGCUUGAACAUGGGAUUCUUUCAAUGGAGUGACAGUGACUUGAGGUUUUGGGGUGGUGGGUGUUGAAAAAUCCAAUAUCGAUGAAAAUGAGGAGUUAUUUCGGGUGUAUAUCACUUUAGAAAUGGAGGAGAAGUUAUCAGAGUGCAUAGAUAGGCAAUGAAGGAAUAAGUUCUCAUCGGGCACUGAAGAAGUUGCAUGAAUGUUGCCAAAAGUAACCCAUCAAUGAUAUGAUAAAAGAAGAACAAAAACAAAUUGGAUGAUAGAAGAGCAAGGAGACUUCAUUUCGGCUGAUGUUUUGGUGCAUAAGAGUGCGUAAGGCUGCCUUAUUUAUGGAACCCCAAAAGCUUAUUUCGUAACAAGCACUCUAAAUUUCUUUGAAUGGAAGUUAACAAACGUCAAUGCGACGGCAAAGCGCAUUAAAUAGAAAGAAACAGGAAACUGGCUUAUUUUUGUCAGCUAAAAUAUCUCUCUUAAUUUUCCAUUUUCUCUGCACCCCGGUCAGAAGCAAAGCCAGGAUUUUAUUUUAGGGUCGGCUAUUUUUUUUCCCCCCCGAACCGGUUAGAAUCUUCAUACGGCAUAUCACUAUAUGAAAUUCACUAGAAAUUAAAUUGAUCGAUUGCAAGGAUAUCAGUUUGAGCCCCAACCCAUACGCUUCUCGAGAUGGUAAUAGUAGCAAGAAGGGUAAAACGGCAGUUUGACUUUGGUUACAGAUUUUAUUUAUUUUUUAUUUAACGAUUUUAGGUUUAAAAUUAGUUAGUUGAAGAUUUAAUUUUUGCUUAAAAAAUGUUAUAAAAACGUUAAAUUGUAUGCUUAAUUAUCAGUUAUCAUUAUAAAUCCACAAACUAAACCAAAACCACCUAACAAUAAGCUCAACUUGAAAUUUCGAGUGCUAAAUUUCAAUGGCUAAAUGGUCUUUACUUGAUCUAAUAACAAUCUAAUCUUAUAUGUUUAAUUUGAAACAUAGCAAUAUGAUGAUGAUGAUCUUCACUUCACUUACAAUUAACAAAUAUCUUGUACAUGAUUAAAUAAAAAAUGAAUUUCUCAUUUCUCAGUCAAUAAAGAGAAAAAUAUAUAUAACAAAUUAACAGUAGAAUAUUGACGUUACAACAAGUUAGUUAACUAUCACUUUUGGGUUCGAGAAUUACGAAAUGCCUUAGACCAAGAAAAAUGAUGAAAAUUCAAAGAAUGAGUGAUAAUGUGUUGAUUUCUUGCCAUGUGAAGGAGAGAACAAAAAUUGAGGAAGAAGCCAAGAAGGGAUUUGGAAAAUGAAGUGACCGUCAGUUUUUUAAAUUUAUAUGGUAGGAAACUUGUAAAUUAUUAGAAUGACAUAAUGGCAUUUAUAUAAAUAAAUUGAAUUUUUUUUCCAAAAUUUUGACGGACCGUAGCCCGUCCUAACCCACGCGUGGGACGGUAGCCUCUGACCCCACGGGGACGCUCCAAGUCCGUAAAUUGGCACGACUUUGAAUUUUCUUCUCCGUGAGUUUAGGAAAAAUCAAACAUUUAAUCAGCCCUUCUAGUUUUAAUACGACUAAUUUCCCAAAUCAAACGCAACUGAUCCAACAACAGCACGAACAGCUGCUCCCUCGGUCGCAGGGAAAAGAACGAGUGAUAAUUAUCCAUCGCCCUUCUAGUUUUUAUUAACCCAACAAAACCUUUUGAUUUUGAUACGUGUAGUUACGAAAAUUAUUAAAUUUACUUAGUUAUCCUUAAUAUAAAGAUAUAGAGGUAAAGUAUGUACUUUAUUAAUAACCUAUUAAUGUAGUAUGUCAAAUCUAAUAUAUCAAAAAAACUAGUACAUGUAUCUGUAUAUUAUUGUUAAAAAUAUGCCAAGUUAUCUUAAAAAUCUGUAAAUGUUUGCAUUAUCUUUGAUAAUUUUCUCUCAUUGUUUAAUUGUACCAUGGGAGGCAAGUUCUUUUAAUCUAACAUAAUAUAUAUAUAUAUAUAUAUAUAUAUAUAUAUAUAGGACUUCUUAUAAAAAGAUUCUCUAAAAUCUCUGGAAGGUUUUUGGUAUUUAUGACUUCUGGACUUGUAAUGUUUUUUAUAAGGUUUUGGGGAACACUUACCAUUACAGUCUUUAACACAGAUACUUUACCCGGUCGUUAUUGGUAUCAGAGCCAAGGGAAAGUAGGUGUAAUAUUUAGUAAAGUAUCUGUGUUGUUUAUUUCUUUUAUUAAAAAUUAGUGUGUUUGCUGAAUUCUUUACUGGUAGUAAGUCCCGUCUCAGGAUAAGGAUUUCCGCUUAGAGCAGUAAAACCAUACCUGUAGGCAUUCAUAUAGGUUUUAAUUUAAGUUUUUAAAUUGCAUGGAUUCUCUACUGCAUAGAACAUCAUCUUUCUCUAGCUCUUCUUCCGAGAAGACUAGUGUUUCAAAGAACGUGGUGAAUUCAGAAGAAUUCAUUAUUGAAGAUUUUAAUAAAGCAAUUGACAAUUGGGAUUUACCAAAGGUUUCUAAAGAUAAGAUUUAUAAAAUGAAAAAACUUGAUUUUUUAAAGACUGAUUGUGUUAUAAAGACAGAAGAAAGAGAUAUCACACUCUCAAAGCCAUUUGAGACAAUUCAUUUGUUUUCUGAGCACUCUUUAAAGAAAUUAAAAGAGAAAAAUUUUAAUUAUGUUCAUAUUGGCUUAAUCCAAAUCGGCAUAAAACCUUUAACUAAAGAAUGAUUAAAUACUUCCAUUCUUGCUGUCCUCAGAGAUGGGAGGUUCAUCUCCUUUGAUGAUUCCUUACUCAGUAGUAUUAAAUCUAGUCUCUGUAAAGGACUCAUUUCUUUUGAUUGUUAUCCUAAUAUAACGGUUUCUUUAAAAGACAAGAAUAUUUUGAAAAGCAUGAUUUUACAGAUCAAAACACAUAACUAUCACAUGUUAGAAGGAUCUGUUCCAGUUGCAUUAAUUUUCAAAAUAUCUUAUAAAGCCAUGAUUUCAGCGUUCAAUACGCAGCAUAAAUUCCAGUCAAAAAGAGAUGAAACUCUUCUCUUGCAGACUGAUAUGUCUAAAGCCAACACUGUUAUUCCAAAACCAAUACAAUGGAAAGAUAUCACUCUUCCAGACGAAUGGAUCCUUGAAGGGGCCACUCAACCAGUGAUCCCAAGACAACUUGAGCCAAAUACAGAGUUACAAAAUGUGACUCAGUAUUCAGAUGGUAAAGUCAAACUAUCUUUUAGGAGAUCUACAUCCUCUAGAUUCUCCGAUAAAGAUUCAAGUUCCAGUAUUCCUCAUUUACAAAAGAAAUUUUCAAAAGUUCCCUCUGUUAUAAAUCUUCCUUUUCAACCAACAAAUAGUCAACCUAAGUUUUCCACCUCGAACAUACCUAGCUCUUUCAUACAUUCUGUUGACUAUGCAACUAGUGUCCCCCAUCCUAUCUACACUAGUCGCCAAAGCCAGGAAGAGAAUGAACCUUCUCCUCCAACUUCUCCUACGUUUUCUGCUGUUACUGAAAAUAUAAUAAAUGUCAUUGAAAAAGAUUUUGAAUUAGAUAAAACUCUUCUUCAUAAUGAUUUUUAUUUUGAAUCUAAUAAAGAGAAAAGACUUUGGUUUUUUAAACAUUUCUUAAACCAGAGAAAAGAAAUUCAACAAAAUUAUUAUGAAUUUGUAAAUUUGCAUAAAGUUCAUAUAUUGUUUUUUGAUUGGUUUGAGAUGUAUGCUUCAGAUAACAACAUUAAUUAUCCUUUUAAAGAAUCAAAUCCCAUUACGGUCAAAAAGAAAAUUGUUGAAUUGAACCUUUCUGGUAGUGGAAGAACCAUUGAAUCUGAGCAUCCACCUCUUAGGAGUCUAACCAUUGAACAUGGUGAACCUCCUGUUGAGAUUAAAGCCUCACCCUAUAAGAUCCAUAAAGACCCAGACACGGAUUUAGAUAGCAUCAUUCAACAGAAUAAUUUAUGUAAUGCUAAUCUAAAUACAAAAGUCAACCGUUAUUGUCCCAUCUUCUACUCCCUCAAAAUCUAAUUCCUUGAAAAAGCUUAAGGAACCUAUUUUCAAACCAUACCAGGUUUCGAAACAUAACCAAAAGCUUGUUCAAGAUUCUAAAUCAGAUUUCGCUAAUGCCAUUAAAGAAUAACUUGAUCGAAUAGAAGCAUCUCUUCUGCUUCUACUUCUAAAGUCCAAAUUGCUCCUGAUAGUGCUCAAUCUAGCAAGAUUGGUGUAUUAGAACAAGAUCAGUCUUCUAUAGUCUCAUAUGAUAUAGAAGCUUUCAAAGAUGAGUCUAUCCCUAAAGCUAAUAAAAUCCAUUGGGAACUUGCUCUCCCAACUGUAAGAACUCCUUCAGACCUUGCCAUCGAUGAUAGACCAAGUGCAUUAAACCAAUCUCGUUUUAAUGCAUCCUCUGUCUAUGAAUGAAACAUUGAUGGUAUGUCUGAGUAUAAUAUUUUAGGAUUAUUACAACAGAUGACCAUGGCAGCCAAUGCCUAUAAAACUCAACAAGGAACUUCUAACAAAGCCAUUGCAGAAAUUCUCAUUGCUGGUUUUACCGGUCAACUAAAAGGUUGGUGGGAUCAUCUUCUCACCCAACAACAACAACUAGACAUCCUAAAUUCUAUCCAAGUAGAUGAAAAUGGAGCCCCCAUUCUCGACGAAUUCAAUAGUCCAAUUCAGGAUGCUGUUGCUACCCUGAUUCUGACUAUUUCUCUUCAUUUUAUAGGUGACCUUUCUCACCUUAGAGAUAAGAAUGCUGAGUUACUACAUAACUUGAGAUGUAUGAAACUUAGUGAAUUCCAAAGUUACAAAACCACUUUCUUUACCAGACUUUUUUUUAGGGAUGAUGCAAAUCAUGUAACUUGGAAGGAAAAAUUCCUUGCGGGUUUACCUACCCUAUUAGGAAAAAAGGUUAGAAAUUCCAUUAAAACCCUCUAUGAUAAUCAAAUUCCUUAUGAUGAGCUCACCUAUGGUGAACUUGUCAGUUUUGUCAAUAAGGAAGGAUUAAAGAUUUGUCAAGACUUGAAACUUAAAAAACGUCUAAAAUGGGAGCUUAGGAAAUCUAAGCAAGAGUUAGACAGUUUCUGUAAGCAAUUCAAUUAUGACCCCUUUAAAACCUCUACUUCUAAAGACUGUAAUGGUAAGUGUUCCCCAAAACUUUACAAAAAACAUUACAAGUCCAGAAGUCAUAAAUACCAAAAAUCUUCCAGAGAUUUUAGAGAAUCUUUUUAUAAGAAGUCCUCGAGACCUUAUAAAAAACCUAAUUUCUCUAAAAGAAUAGACUCCAAAGCCAAACCCUCUUCCUCCUUUAAACCAAAAACCUCUUUUAAUUAUAAAGAAGCUACAUGUUUUAAAUGUGGCAAAAAAGGACAUACUGCAAAAUAUUGCAGGACAAAUAGAAGACUUCAAGAGAUUGAUCUUGAUGAAGAAGUCCUUUCCAAGAUAGCUCCUCUACUCAUUGAGUCUUUUGACUCUGAUUCAAGUUCUUCAUUGUCGGGAAAUAGUGAUCCUUUACAGGUUGAUGAGUUAAUUGACUCAGAAACAUCUGUAUCAAACAGUUCUGAUUCAGAAACCUUUUUAAAGAAGAUUAAUGUUUUAACUAAAGAACAAGAAACUUUUCUUGAACUUGUAAAGCAUAUUUCUGACCCCAUUCUUCAAAAAAAAAAAUACCUUGACAAACUUUUAAAAACUCUAGAGUUAAAAGACAAAACAAAAAGCUCUAAAACCCCAAUUAUUAAAAAGAAUACUUAUGACCUUACGGAAAUUUUGGGAAAAAAGAAGACAAAGAAAACAAUAAUUCCCAAUAUCCAAGACCUUCAAAAGGAAAUUAAAGAAAUCAAACUUGAAAUUAAAGAAUUGAAAGAGAAGCAGAAAAAUGACUUAGAAACAAUCCAGUUUUUAUUGCAAAAACAACUGGAAGAUAAUUCUGAUAAAGAAUCAAACUCUGGUGAAGAAAAUGAACAACAACUUGAAAACAUUGAAUCAAUCCCCAACGAUUUUCUUUUUAUUUUAAAACAAAUCACCACGAGAAAAUAUUUAAUUAAAAUCACUUUAAAAUUUUCUAAAGAUUUUGAAAUUGACACGAUUGCCCUUUUUGACACUGGUGCUAAUAUGAAUUGUAUAAAAGCAGACAUUGUUCCAAAGAAAUUCCAUGAAAAAACUAAUGAAAGGCUUUCAGCUGCAAAUAAUUCAAAAUUUAACAUCAAAUCCAAAGUUGACGCCUCAAUUCACAACAAUAGUUUUGAAUUCAGGACUACCUUCCUUUUAACAAAUAAUAUUCAUCAUGCUGUUAUUUUGGGAACUCCUUUUAUAAAUCUCAUUACUCCCUAUACUGUCAAUUACGAUAGUAUAUCUUUUAAAGCAAAAAAGAACAAAUUAAUUUUCCCUUUUAUUGAGAAAUCUAAAACCAAAAAUUUAAAUAUUGUUAAAGCCUGUUCUAUUUACCAGAACCAAAUAAAUGUUUUGCUUAAAACAAAACAAACCGAUUUAGCCUGUUUACAAAAAUACUUAAGUUUACAAAGAAUUGAAAACCAAUUGCAAAAUGGACUUAUACAAAGAAAAAUUUCUGAUUUCAAAGCUCUAAUUGAAAAGGAAAUAUGUGCUUAUUUACCAAGUGCUUUUUGGAACCGAAAACAACAUUUGGUAGAUUUGCCUUAUGAAAAUUCCUUUGAUGAGAAACAGAUACCCACUAAAGCCCGUCCUAUCCAAAUGAACAUGGAUUUGGAAAAACAUUACAAAAUUAAAAUUAAAGAUCUAGAGUCCAAAGGACUCAUUGUAAAAUCUAGAUCUCCAUGGUCUUGUGCUGCUUUCUACGUCAAUAAAAACUCUGAAAUAGAAAGAGGGACACCCAGACUUGUAAUAAAUUACAAGCCCUUGAAUAAAGCAUUAAAAUUGAUCAGGUAUCCCAUACCUAAUAAAAAAGAUUUACUCCAAAAACUACACUCUGCAUUCAUAUUUUCAAAAUUUGACAUGAAAUCUGGUUUUUAGCAAAUUCAAAUUCAUCCUAAAGACCGUUAUAAGACCGCUUUUACUGUUCCAUUUGGACAGUACGAAUGGACAGUAAUGCCUUUUGGUUUGAAAAAUGCACAUUCAGAAUUUCAAAGAAUUAUGAAUGAUAUUUAUAAUCUUUUUUCUGAUUUUUGCAUUGUUUAUAUAGAUGAUGUGUUGAUUUUCUCUCAAUCAAUUGAACAACACUUCAAACAUUUAAAGACUUUUUAUUUGGCUACUAGAAAAGCUGGUCUAGCCAUCUCUAGUUCUAAAGUCUCUUUAUUCCAAACUAAAGUUCGGUUUCUUGGUCAUUACAUUUCCAAAGGAACCAUCACUCCCAUUGAAAGGUCACUUGCCUUCACUGACAAGUUUCCAGAUAAAAUCCUUGAUAAAUAGGAUUGCCAAAUCAUUGCAUGAUAGAUUAAAGAAAACUCAUGUUGCAUGGUCAGAAGAACAUACAAAAAUUGUUAAACACAUAAAGACCAUAGUUAAAAACAUUCCAUGUUUAUUUCUUGUAAAUCCUGCAUUGCCUAAAAUUGUUGAGACUGAUGCAUCAGACUUAGGUUAUGGUGGGAUAUUAAAGCAAGUUGACCAUAAUAAAGAACAGAUAGUACAAUAUGUUUCUGCACAUUGGAAUGAAUGCCAGAAAAAUUAUUCUACUAUUAAAAAGGAAAUUUUAUCCAUUGUUUUAUGCAUUUCCAAAUUUCAAAGUGAUUUACUAAAUCAAAAGUUUCUGCUUAGAAUCGAUUGCAAAGUUGCAAAACACGUUUUGGAAAAAGAUGUUCGAAACAUUGCAUCUAAACAGAUUUUUGCACGUUGGCAAGCUAUUUUAAGUGUUUUUUAUUUUGAUAUUGAAUUUAUUCAAGAAGAUACAAAUUCUCUCCCUGAUUUUCUAACCAGGGAAUUUCUUCAAAACAGAUAAUGCUACCAAAAAGACGAGACAAAGGGAAAGGGAUCCUCACAGAACCCAUACCCAAAACAACCCCUAAAGCCUCCCAAUCUUCCCCUCCUAAAGAAAAAUUGCUCUCUUCAGUAAUGCCUAUAAAGUCUUGGAUUGACGCUAUUGAAGACCAAGAAGCCCAAUCCAAAGUCCUUGCCUCCCAGGAGCAGGUAAAUGAAUGGAUGAAAUCCAUUUCUAAAUCCCCUGAGCUUAUGAUCGUCUUACAAAGUUUUUCUCAAAGCCAGAUAUCUUCUAAAGAAGAAAAACCUAUUUCUAAAGAAACUUCUAAAACUUCUUCACAAAAUGUGGUUCUUUCGGGUGAAAGUUCAUCUUCUCAAAUUGUUCUUUCACAAACAAAGCUUCCAAAGAAAACUUCGGAUUGGUAUGAUAAAACACAUUUCCAAAAUAUUUUAUCCAUAGAAGAUGGUUUUUACCACACUGAUCCUCUUCAAGCAAUUUCAAAAAUUUUCCAUAAAGGCUGGUUUUUCAAACCUUGGAAUUUGACAAAACCUCAGUCUUAUUACCAAAGUAUUUUAGAGUCUAUUGAGUCUGUCAAAUUAAAACACUUCUUCCUCAGUGAAGCCCAUACAGAACCAGCUUACUCCACAGCGACAAUUUUAAAAGUUUUAACCCAAAACAAUGGGGAGACCAACUUCAUAAAUUAAAGCCCUUCCCCGCAAAUUUCCAAAUGCGUUUACCUCAUUGCCUGUCAUAUUCCUACUGGGAUUACCAACAGGCCUGGUUUAACACAUUUUUUAUACAAAACCCAAAAAGAACCCAUUCUUGGUUAUUUUUCUUUAAUUCAAAAAUAACCGUCCAAAGUCUUCCAAACUGGUUCCAACAAUGGUGGAAUUAUUUCGGCCCAUGCCCUGAAAUUCUCACCCAAAAUGCCAUCCAGUGCCUAAAUCUUUUUAAAACCCACUAUGUACCUACAGAGUCUGAGAAACGAUUUCCUCCUUUUCUCUGCUUCUGUACAAACUUCUUUCUCCCUUGGGUUUAGAUGUGGAACUUUCGAUACCAUCCACAAGAUGCCCAAUUAAUUCUAUAAAGAACCUUUAAAGUCAAAUGGUGGUCAAAAUUUGAUGAACAGUCCAAAUUGACUGUUAACAUGAUCGAAAAUUGGCUCUCCUCUAAAAGCCUUCUACAACCAACCAUCAAAGAUAUUAAAGCCCAAGGAACCUUCCUUACCCAAAAAUCCAAAGCCCAAUCUCUUUUGGCCAGUGCCAAAACAGAAGAAGAAUAUUUCAAAGUCAUGAAGCAGCUUCUUGCAUCGAGAUCUGAACCAUCAGUUGCAAGAUCUGGAGAAGCUGCGCCAUUCAUCUCCCUUGGAGAUGAGAAUGAAGAUGAUUGCUUCGGCAUCUUUCCUCCUGUAAAGCAUUGUUAAAGAAUUUGUAAAUUCAAAAAAAAAAGGUACUAAUUUUCAAUUCAAUUUUUCCUCUGUAUUGAUCACUUGUAUUCAAUUUUAUAAUUUCCGUAAAAUUCUAUUGUAAAAAUUACUUUUACUUAUAUUACUUUGGGUGGUCCCCUGGACACAAGUGAGAGCGCACAUGUCUCUUCACCUGAAAUUCCCUCUUAUAUAUUUUCUUGUAAUUUUAUGCAUUUCUCUUGUAAAGCCACAGUUUCAAGCUACAGUUUCGCUACAUUCAUGAAGCUACAGUUUCGCUACACUCAUGAAGCUACAGUUUAGCUACAGUUGUGAAGCUACAGACUCGUUACAGUUAAAGACCAAGUCUUUGUAUUUAAAUCGAGAGGAAGACUUAGACUCCUCAGAUUUUUAGAAUUAUAUUUUCUUUCUUUCUUCUUCUUCUUCUCUCUCUCUCUCUGGGAAUCAGGAAGACAACAAGGAAUUUUCCUGUCUUCAGAUUAAUUUCCCGUUUCUUCUGUAAUAUUUUCCUUUAAAGAAAAACAAAGCAAGAAGAACCAAAUGUAAGAUUUGUAAUUUCUUUUAAAGUUUGUAAUAAAUUUUUGUAUGUUUAAAUUUCUGCAGUUUAAUUUCCGUAAUUUAUUUUAAAGCAUUUAAAUUUCAGUAAUUAAAUUUUAUGCAUGCUUUGCAGACUGAUCUGUAUCAGAUCUGCCAUAUAAAUUGUUACGUUCCUCAGAGGCAAAGAGACCGGAUCUCUGUCUUCUGUUGUAUCUUCUCUUCUCCCCCCAACCAUUCAGAGUAUUAUUUCUGGGAUCCAUAUUUAAUACUAUCUAUGAGCCUUUAGAUCUGUUGCUAGGCUUGCUAAAGCAUCAUUUUAACAUUUUAAAGAAUUUGGCAUAUAGGCUGGAAAACAGAACGUGCAGGAUAUUGAUCUGUUUUAAGUCAGAUCUGGUUCCAAAGGCAGAUUAAGUUCUGCAUCGAUCUGGAAACAACGCCACGUACCGAUUAAAAUCUACAAUCAUUAAAAUCUUUUAAUUUUAUAAUUUCUUGGACACUCACACACUUUCCGCAUUAAAAUCUUUUAAUUUUGUAAUUUCUUGGACACUCACACACUUUCCACGAUCCCGGUCGUUAUUGGUAUAUAUAUAUAUAUAUAUAUAUAUAUAUUAUAGAGGCAAGUUCCUUAUGAUUGGAUUUUAAAAUAUAUAUAUAACUCGUUGUUAUAAAAUUUAUUAUCUAAUAGAAGAAUGACACAUAAUAGUUGAAACUUAAGUUAGUACUCAACUAUUGGAAUUCGAAAUUUUACUAAAAAAAAAUUGAAAUAAAUGCGAUCCACUAGGGAAAAUAGGCUUUGAAUUCUCAAAUUCAAAUGUGGCUCAUAUGUCAAGAUGCUAAACAAUUGAUAGUUAGUUUUAUGAAUAAAUACAAAAAAUAGGGAACAUUUCACCAUUUCUGAAAAUUUAUUAAGUAAUAGCUAUGCAUUAGAAAUUAGAAGAAUAAUAUUAGAAAUCUUAAUAUUUGCAUUUUAAUUUGUUUCUCAACUGAUAUGAAAUUCAUAUAUUGAAUAAUAUUUUACGAGCUAUAAAAUUCAAGAUGCAAAAACUGAGAUCUACAUAUUGGGAUCCCUAGUUUGUUCAAUUUUUUUAUGCUUAAUAAUUAAACAAUAAAACGUAAAAUUUGGGUGUUAACCAUUUCGAAACCCCUCAAUCGCCAAUGAAAAGAAAUUUGCAGGGUCCAUUCAAUUUAAAUUUCUUGUCGUUUGUGGGAAAUAUUUUAUAGUAAAAGUAUCAUCGAUGGUUAUUAGUUAAUAAGCUCGCUUCCGCUGGAAUAAUGCACUGUGUGUAAUGUUGUAUGAAGGAAAAUUAUCAGAUGACCCUACUAUCGUUUAUCUUAAUUACCAGUUACCCUUAGGUUUCCUAAAAUGCCAACAGUUCUCCAUCUGUUACAUUUAUUCCCUUAAUUGUUUGGGCUUGUUGACAUAAUUGCCCCCAUUGAAUCCGAACGAAUUGGACCCUUCUCAUUUGCUCCCGUUGUAACCCAACGGGGUUGGGCCCAAUUCGGCAUGAUUUUCCUCUUAAGUAAUGAUAUUUGACCAUUUAUCUCACCAACUAUCUAACUCCCCCUUCUCGAUUAACCAUAUUCAUUCAUAAAAUUACCUUUAUUACGGAAACUUGAGCUUUUGCAGUUGUCUUGUUGAUGCGGCAAAUUUGUUUUCAUAUGGAAAUUGAAGAGUAUUUAGAUGACUGGUAUGAGAGCUAAAAGCAUGCUUUAAAUUAAAACAAAGUCUUGGUUCAUUAACUAAUUAAGGUUGAUGAUGGAGGAGAUGUGCUCAAAGCCACGGACCAAGUGGUUUUUAUACUAUAAAGAUGAAAUUUAAGAUGGUUAUUAACUUUUAUUCUAUUUAAGAUGGGUAUAGCCUUUAAUUUUAUUCAUUAUAUUUUUAAUCUUCGUAGAGGAAUAAUUAAUUUGUAUUUCGGUAAAGGGUAAUUUUUGGAUACUUUUCCUGAGGUUUGGCCUUGCUACACUUAAUGCUGCGUUUACUUUUUGGAUUAGAGUGGGAAUCCUGAGGAGUGAGAAUCCUUGGAUUAGGAGUGUGGAGUGGGAGUGGGAGUAGGGUGUUUACUUAGACUAAAUGAAAGUAUGGAUUGUCAAUCAGAAUCCUAAUUUUUUGUUUACUUUGUCUUAGAUUGGGAGUAAAUUGUUUUAAAUUACAAUUUUAUCCUUAUGUACAGAAUUAUAAUUUGUAAUUAAAAAAUUAAUAAAAAAUAUAUUUGGAAAAUAAAAUAAAUAUUUUAUUAUAUUUAUAAAUUAAUAAUAAUUACUAAUAUUCUUAAUUAUGUAAAUCAUAAUUUUUUAUUAAUUUUAAUUUAAAUUAUGUGAAUAAAAAUUAUUAAUAAUAGCAACACAUGAAAUAUUAUUAUUGAUAAUAUAGUACAAAAUUAAUAUUUUUUUAGAAUAAAAUAUUUAUUAUUAUUAAUUAAAUAAUUAAUUAAUAUUUAUUAAAAUUAAUGUUUAAUAUUAUUAAUUUAAAUAUAAUUUUUAUUUUUAUUUUAUUAAAUUUAAUAAAAUAAAUAUGAUAUAAUUAUUAUUUUUAAUAAAUAUGAUAUUAUUUAUUUUAUUAAAUAUGAUAUUAUUUAUUUUAUUAAAUAUUAUUUAUUUAUUUAUUUAUUUUUAUAAGGAUAAAAUGGGAAGAGGGGGGAGUGGAUUCCCACUCCCACCUCCCCCCAUGGGAGUGGGAAUCCCACUCCCCACUCCAAAAUUGAGUGGGACCCACGGAUUCCCACUCCCACUCCCCCCUUUUUUAAGGCAAGUAAACACUGGAGUGGGAGGAAUCCACACUCCACACUCCCACUCCAGAAAGUAAACACUACCUUAGAUAGAAUAUAAUGUAUGUAUAUAUUGACAUAUAGCACCCCCCCCCCCGACGUGUAUAAGCGUUAGGAAGCCGUUUGGUAAACGGGGAUAAUUUUGUAAUUGCAAAAGUUUAUAAUUUUUAAAUCUUAAAAAAGCUAAUUGACAGUGAUUGAUUAAACAAAUCAAUGUGUAUUCAGAAUGCACAAUUAUACAAAGCUUGGAAUCGAGUGAAACAAAUGAUACCCCACCUUCACUUUAUCAAACCCAUCUUCACUCUACCAUUCAGCUUCAGUCCAAAACAAAUAACGCCCACUCAUCGAAGACGUCACUCCUACCAACAACUCCAUCAUCGCCGCCGUCGAAUCCGCCGAUUUGAAGAACACCACCAGUCAGAACAUGAACAAGGCCAAUACUAAUAACAAGCGCGAAGGAGUGGUGGUUGAGAGCGGCGCUGACAGAGCUGUGAAUUGGCAGAAUGCGAGGUGCGAGGCGGAAAUAUUAUUCGCAUCCGUUGUACGAGCAGCUACUCUCAGCACACGUGGCUUGCUUGAGGGUCGACACGUCGGUGGAUCAGCUGCCGAGGAUUGAUGCUCAGCUUGCUUAGUCGCAGCACGACGUCACUAAGUACACCGCUUUAGGUGCCGGUCAAGGCUGGGUUACUGAUGACCAAGAGCUCCACUAUGUAUUCUACUUUCAUAAAGUUAUUAUUGAUUUUAAAUUUAAUUUCUUUUCCAUUUUGUUUGCUUGCUUGCUUUCUUGUCUUAUUAGAAACUUGAAUUUUAAAUUCACAGAAGAAUUUAUUGCGCUUGCUAUUGACUAAUUCGAGGCAUUGUACAUAUUAAAAAAAAUGUUUUUUUCCCCCUCAAUUUGGGUGAUUUUUGGGUAUUACUGGUAUGUUUGAUUACUUGAGGAUGAGUUAAUUGGUUAUGAUGAUAAAGUUUUGAAUCUUUGAGUACAAAGUUAAAUUGUAAAUUUGAAGCAGAAUGAGUAAGGGUUUUGUUAGGAGACGGUAAAAUUUUGAAAUGGACACCCGGAUUCUAAGACGUGAGAAGUAAUUCUAGUGGAAAUACAAAUAAUUCGGCGGAAGCUACAAAGUCAGGGAACAUUUCCUUUUAUUGCAAAUGAUAAGAUACUUGAUUGAAAGUGAUUUGGUCUACCAAAUGGUUGUGGCUCAAUUUUGACUAUGAAGUUUUCCAACACCGAUAUGUUCAUACCAUUUAGGACCACAAUUAGCACAAAACGAACGAUUCGUUUUGUGCUAACUAUAAAAGAAAUUACUGUAGCUUCAAAAUACACGCACUCGUCUUGCUCAAACGCAAGCGCAGACUACACACACUCGUUUUACUUGCUCAAACGCAAGCGCAGACUACACACACUCGUCUUACUGAAGACAUAAGUUGUCUGGCGAUUUUGCCCUUGAAAUGAAGAUUUCGCCUCAUGACUUAAAAUCGCUUGGGUUGUGUUUCUGUUUGAUUUCUGUUUCUGCGUUUGUUCUUCCUCUUCGCUUUGUGAAAUAAAUGAAUAAACAUUAGAUGGAGUUUUAUUCAAUAUUUAAAAUUUUGUUAAUUUUUAACGUGAUUGGAAUUUUAAUUAUUAUAAGAAAUAAGUUCUGGAUCGGAUUUUAAAAUACUUUAUUUGAAUACUCUAAAAAAUGCAAUAUGUUCACAAAAUGUAAUUGCCGAUAUAAUUCCCCAGAACCCCAAUUCCAGAUUACUUAAAUGACGGCGGGGGCUGCAGUUUGUUCACAAGGUAAAAAAUGCAGUAUGUUCACCAUUAUUAACUUCUAUUAUGAAAAAAAAAAAUUAUUGUCACAACAUUACAUCCGACGCUUUCAUGGCUAAUGAUAGCCACCUCUGCUACACUUAUGCUCGCGCUGAAAAAAUCAUUAAAAAAAAAAAAGAAUAUAAGCAGGAAGUUGUUGGCCCGAUGGUCGAACGCAAAAAAAACCAACCGCCAAGAAGAGAAUGAAAAACCGGCCAUGAUAAUUGUUAAAAUACCCAUUUUUAUGGCCCUAAAAUGACCGGAAAGCGGAAGCCUCGGCAUUGAGAUUUGGUGGUCCACUGCCGGCUGUAUCACUCUCACCAUGUCUUCACAUGGCUGAUCGUGAGAGAGUCUUUGGAUUGAACCGUCAACAUCUCAUGAUUAUGCCCAUUUAAGUCCGUCAAAACCAAUUUCCAAAUCUGAAACUGGUCUGUCGCCUGAAUCUUGUUUCAUUGCCUGGUUUUCCCCCAACGGAUCAGCAGCUUUUAACUCACAACAGAACAACAUUUUGCUAAUUUCCAAUAGCAAGUUCUUACGGCAAUUAUCAACACAAUUUGACUUCGCAAUUGAAUCUUCACAUAUUCGUAAUUAGCACAACCAAAAUUGGGCAUUAAUAAAACCAAUUACCUCCACGAAUCGAUUACGGUGGGCGACAAGUGAAGCCGAGAGAGUGGGCAGAGAGAGAGAGAGCCAACGAUCAAAUGUGGAGAGACCCACGACGAAAGAGAGAGAGAGAAAGCCGAAGGAGUGAGCAGUGAGAUGCGUGAGAGGCCGGGUGUGGAGAGACCCACGGCGCGAGAGGGAGAGAGAGCGCCAGCGGAUAGAGCAAUCCCACGAUGCGUUUUGUGAGUUUGCGUGAGAGUUGUGAAGCGAGUGUGUAUUUUGAAGCAACAGUAACUUGUUUUAGAGUUAGCACAAAACGAACCGAUUUGUGCUAACUGCGGUGCUUAGCGUGCGAUGAAUUUCAUUUUCCUUUUUCUUCCUCCCAGACGUAAGUGGUGGAAUGUUUUUUUUUAAAGAAAAAAAUCUCGGCAUAGUGAGAGAUAACUUUAUUAAAAAGAAAUCAAUUGAAAUAAAUAAUACACCAUUUCAGGGGACGUAAUUAGCCUCACAUUUUAGAAAAAAAAAAAUUAACAGAAAAAAAAAAAGAUCUAAAGACGUCGACCCAGAGAAAAAACGAAGACAUAAAAAAGAAGUUGAAUGCUCAUUGAAAACUGUAGCUGCUGGGGAAUCCAUUAGAAUCUUCUGUAAGGAGUGGAGUGGUCUCAGAACAAGUAGACUCAGGACAGCUAAUGCGUAAGUUAUCUAUAAGAGGUGGAAUGCUUUG
rnacentral:lncRNA from 1 species